rnacentral:rRNA from 1 species
GAUGAACGCUGGCGGCGUGCCUAAUACAUGCCAGUCGAGCGAACAGACGAGGAGCUUGCUCCUCUGACGUUAGCGGCGGACGGGUGAGUAACACGUGGAUAACCUACCUAUAAGACUGGGAUAACUUCGGGAAACCGGAGCUAAUACCGGAUAAUAUAUUGAACCGCAUGGUUCAAUAGUGAAAGACGGUUUUGCUGUCACUUAUAGAUGGAUCCGCGCCGCAUUAGCUAGUUGGUAAGGUAACGGCUUACCAAGGCAACGAUGCGUAGCCGACCUGAGAGGGUGAUCGGCCACACUGGAACUGAGACACGGUCCUGACUCCUACGGGAGGCAGCAGUAGGGAAUCUUCCGCAAUGGGCGAAAGCUUGACGGAGCAACGCCGCGUGAGUGAUGAAGGUCUUCGGAUCGUAAAACUCUGUUAUUAGGGAAGAACAAAUGUGUAAGUAACUAUGCACGUCUUGACGGUACCUAAUCAGAAAGCCACGGCUAACUACGUG